UGAGUUGUAAUUCGGGGCCUGAAAUAUCCGCCUUCCGACAGCCUUUCAAACAAGGUCACCGAGUUGUAGUCUUCCUCGGGGACUCAGGAAGGAAGCGGCACGCACCUGGUGUGGACUCUCACACACCGCCAAUCCCACAAGGCCGGUGGUCUGUUCAAAAACAAAACACGGUUCACGCUGGUUACAACUCCGCACGUCCACCGCGCUGACGAGGGCAAAGCCACCACUGCCCUGGCUAAAACUGGCCCCAAACCAGCUCUCGGUGUCUCCGAGCCGCUUGUUUGGAGCAUUUUUCUGCCUCUCCCAGAGGGGCUACUGAAUCUGUCAUCCCGGAACGCACAGCAGAACAAGUACCCCUAAAAGCACCCGCAAACCCGCGCCAGUUCCGACCACCACCCGCAGGAUUCGGGGCUAUCGGGCCGACUCUACCCGCACAGUCUAAAUUCCAACAAUGACCUCCCCAAUCACCUUACCUUCUUCAGCAAACCCGCCAUGACCGCGCCAACAGGCCGGGGACGCGCGGCCCUCUGGGAAUCUCGCUCAGACCCGCUCAAUCCACCGCCGAGGCCGGCACUCCGUCACCUAGGAAACCGCUUUGUUCCUCCCCUCAUCCACUCAGGCUCGCCACCCAGGCGAAGGCUGUGCCCCGCCCACUCCUAAAGGGAAAAUUUACGCAUGCGCAGUGAAGUGAUACCAGAGCAUACCACUUCUCCCCACUUUCCUCUACAAUCAAGUACCUAUUAUGUGUUAGUUACGGAGACAAAAUUUGUAAGAAAGGAUCUCACAUCCUGGAAUAUACUGAACAAUGAUGAAGAUACGCAUUAAUAAUUUGGUAGCUGUUCUUCUAAGCCUUUGCUUGGAAAACCCUAACAUCAGAUGGGCACGUGGCUCCAUCUUUCACCUCUUUCAAGUCUUUGCUCAAAUACUACCUUUUCAGUAUGGCCUGCCCUGGCUAUGAGAUUUAAAAUU